ensembl:misc_RNA Metazoa_SRP Metazoan signal recognition particle RNA
GCCGGGUGCGGUGGCUCACGCCUGUAAUCCCAGCACUUUGGGAGGCUGAGGUGGGUGGAUCACUUGAGGUCAGGAGUUCAAGACCAGCCUGACCAACAUGGUGAAACCCCAUCUCUA